CGAAGUUGCAGUGAGCUCAGCUUUAAGCUCAGCGGGAGAGUCUGUCAAGACCUUCUCUGUUGCUCCAGGUCACCGCGGAGACGCGGUGUUUGAAAAGCGGAUGAGGAGAGUGCAGAACUCCUUCCACCCGCUGGAGCUGCUUCCUUCCCAAAGACUGUAGGGGACACCGAGGCACUUCAGUGCCACGGAUGAAAGGUACUGGGCUGGAACUAAGCCAGAUGUUCGGAGCGGCUCCAGAUGUGUCGCAGGGCGGGGUCAGGACUCUCUUCCCCAGUCCCAGCCCCCAACCUGGAGCUGAGCCACGAGUCCCUUAGUCCCAGGGUCGUCCAGGCUGUUGCGUUCCGCCAAGGAGUUACUCGGAAUGUUGCGGAGCAGAGAGGCCUCUGUCAGUUCCCAGAGAGAAGCUGGACCACGUCUGGUGCACCUACAAGGAGCUCUGGGCAGGAGACUUGAGCAGCUGAGACCUGGAGGAAGAGUUGUUACCAUCAUUCUCUGAAGCUACCCAGCCUUGGCCUUGCUCUUGCUCCUCCUUUGGGAAUUGACUGUGACAGCCCCAGGUAGAAAUUCCAGUCAGAGACCUUUCCCCUCUGGUCUAUGUGUCAGUCCCAGAGAAGGGGCUGGCUGACUGCUUGGUCACGUGUCCUCUGAGUGAAAGUUGGUGAGAAAAUGCUGGGAAGGACCAGGAGCUCCUGUUACCAGAAGAGGACCAGGAAGCACGGAGCCACCAGGCAUGUGUCUGGGUGCAGUUUCUUCUGCCAUCAAGACUCUGCUUCCACACUUUGAGUAAAAGCCAGUGUGUCAGUCUGGGCCUAGCUUAAAGAUACAGAGUGGAGGCUCGAGGGUAGACAGCUAAGGACUGAAUCCUGUGAAAUCAUGAGCUGAAAUAAAUCUCCCUUCCAUGACAUUGUUGUCCCCAACUACCUAUCACAGGCACGAGAAAGCUGACUAGCUCACCUGGCCACAAGUGAAGUCUGCCCUUCCACUCUUGAUCUGGGCUGCCCUGAUAUUGUUUGUUCAGUGUGGCAAAGAAAAAC
ensembl:lncRNA